UUUCAAUCGGUGGAAUUAUAGAUUGUUGUAUUGCAUCUCCGUGGUUGGCCCCUGAUCAUCCCUCCGUUGUUCGACAGAAGAAACUAUGGAUAGGGAUUUAGAAAAGGAAGAAUUGUUGGGGGAUAUAAUACGCGACGGAGGUGAUGAUACCACCUUGUCGUAUCUCAACGACACUGAUCGAAUUGAGGAGGGAGGAGAUGACGGCUCCAGUGAUCGAAUGGAGGAGGGAGGAGAUGACGGCUCCGCCAGUGUUGGAGCCUUAACUGUUGGAAAAUCCGUCGAGCCCUCCGGAUCGAGCCAAACUUUUGUAAGGGGACGAGGCCCGAAGAAAAGGUUGGGCCAGGAUGAAAGGUUCAUGAUCGAAGAAGUCGCUCUAGAUGGCCAACCAUUGCUCCCAAGCGGAGCAAAGACAAAUUUAUAUAUCAGUGCGGAGUUAUUGUUAGGGACAGCGUCCCGAUCAGCAUCCAAAAAUGGAAUAAGAAGAAGGACGGUGAAGUUUCUUAUGUCGAUGAUAGACAGAAAGAUGAGCUUUGGAACUCGCUGAUGAAAUUUUUUCACCUACCGCCAGAGCAGGAUCCAAAUAACCCAAUUAUACAACGAAAAAUCAAGGCGUUCGCUCUUAAGAAGAUGACAGAACUACCCAAGAGCUGUAAGAAAAGAUUGACUGAGUUUGUCGAGAAAGACGAGACUCUAGAACUCACCGGUCAAUAUGCGAACAUAAAAGAUCACUCGCCCGCAUUUGUGGCGUACA